GAGAACGGGACUCCCGUUGAAGGAAUCAGAGAAAGGACUGAAAGAGCUUGAAGGAGCUUGAGACCCCAUGUGAACAACAAUGCCAAGCAACCAGAGCUUCCAGGGACUAAUUACCCAAAGACUAUACAUGGACUGACCCUGGACUCUGACCUCAUAGAUCAUUACAGAAGUUAAUUUCAGCAGAUGCCUUCAGCGUGCCAAGCCUUUCAAAAUGAAGAAUUAUCAGCCUUCAGACCGAUCCAACGUCAAUGUGGACAGAAUCUUGGAUGAAACAUAUAAUUCACGGCAGCAGUGGCACAAACAAGUCCUCUGGUUUGGUCAACUUCAUCGUAAGAUAAUGCAUGUGAAAGAACGAAAUGAAACGAAACGAAUUCAGAAAAUGCACAAUGAGAAAAGGAAAAAAUGUCUGAAACUGGGAGUCUACUCGCUCAAGCAUGGGAAUGCUAAUAUUGCUCUGGAAAAUAGAAGUUAAACGUGAAUAGCAGAAGCUAACAGUCUCUCUGCAGGUGGAGGGAAGGGAAGAAAAUGGCAGAAGUUUUGCCUGGGGUGGAAUGGAAUAUACAUGCAAAUUUAUCAGUACAUAUUUAUGUCUGAGGCAAAGAUUUGGGGGAAGAAGAGGGGGUAGCUCAUCAGAGAUACACCGCCACUAAAAGUUGAACGUUCCCAAGGAGAGAAAAAAUAGAAAAGGAUGCAUUUAGAAUUUUAAAAUACACUUUGAGUUAUGAGUCCACUUCAUUUAUAUGGCAUUCUAACCCUGGUCACUUCUUAAAAGCACAGACAUUAUAUAAUGAGCUGCCAGUUUUCUUAUUAAUCAUUAAGGUUAAUGUUGUAAGAAUGUUGGAAAAGGGCAUGUACCUGAGAGCUCAGUGACUGGGUGAGUACAGUUGUCACCAAGUAGGUAGGGAAAUACACGCGUGAAGAACAACGGUUAAAUUUUGGUAUGACCAAAAAACAAAACAAAACAAGAAAAAAAAAACAAAAACAACCACAAACCCACCAGUGGGCUCCAAGUAGACCACAACUUCAUCAAAAGACUUGAGGAACUGGGAAGUGUUUUGGUGGCCAAAGAUGUAUCAACUUUCAGCUGCUGGUAUCUGUAAGGGUUCUGAAGCAACUUCCUGAAGUAGAAGCUGACUUUAAAAAAAAAAAAGAAAGAAAAGGCAUUUUUUUAGAAAAUUUGAUUUCUAACUCCUCUUGUCAGAAACAAUGAUGCACCCAGGAGAUUUUAGCUUGAAGGACAGGCAUGGAUAAGAGGCUAGCAUAGAUGCCAGAUUCAGGAAAUAAAAAGGUAAAUAACCAGAAGAAAGUAAACCAUUUCACAGAAGGACAACAGAGUCGGCAACGCUCAUAGGACUGAGGUCAUUCCAUGUCCCAUGAGGCUUAUCACUGAGGCAUAGAUGCACCCUCCAAGGCAUCCAUGUUCUGCUAAGAAAACCCCCCAGCCAGGCUUCAGAGAGAUCAGUAGGACCAUUCAGUCCAGUUGUUAAAAGAGCAGCGUACACAGAAUUCUCAGGCACACGAUGCUACAAUAUAUCCUUAUCCGACACAUGGAGGGGAGGAACUUCUUGCCAGGUGCACGUUCAACUGCUGUCUAGGCUACAGAAAUACAUCCCAACUACCAACCACGCUGCUGUCCUACCCUGGUCUUCUUACUCUUUGUUUGAUCCCUCAUUCCUCCUCCUUACAGGCUUCUAAGUGUGUGUUCCUCAGCUUGGCACAGUUGGAGUUUGGUGGAAGCUGUAAGAACUAUUCCCUAGCUCGAAGCUGCUGGAUACAUGUCCAUGAGGGGCAGAGCUCAAAUGUAUUUACUUCAUAUCUAUUUCCCGGUCACCUCAGGCUGAGCAGUUUCUUCUGUCACUUGCUCCCAUGUGACGUCUUUCACACCACAGGCUCUGGGGCAGCAGAUGCAAUUGGAAAUAGACUUAAUUUCCCAAAACUGUGAAUUUUCCAAAACAAACCGUUUUUCUGUGUAAGUUGAAUUCUCUUGGGUAUUUGUUAUACUACCAGGACUAGGUCUAAGAAACUCAUGGAUAUUUUAUGCCCUUCCACCACGGGACACAUUCAUUAUCUUCUUUUUUAAUUAAUUAUUUUAUUUAUUUACAUCCAAAAUGUCCACCCCCCAUUCUCUCCUACCAGAGUUCCCCACCCCAUCCCUCCAUGCCCUUUGCUAAGGGUGCUCCACCCCAGCAUCCACCAUAUCUGGGGCAUCAAGUCUAUACAGGGCUAGGCACAUCCUUUUCCAGUGGGACCAGACAAAGCAGUCAGUCCUCUGUUACAUAUGUGCCAGGGGUCUCCGACCCACCUGCAGGUCUCUAUCCCAAAAUGAUGUGUUGAUAGAAGUAUACCAGAACUACACUACACAGAACUGGCUGUGUGUGUGUGUGUGUGUGUGUGUGUGUGUGUGUGUGUGUGUGUGUGUGCAUGUGCAUUUCUUUUCCAUUAUUAGCAACUUUUUUAUUGCAAGAUGUCGUCAAAGAUCACCAGACCUUGGAUAAGGUUGAAUGAUAUAUUCAGUGAUAAACCCUUGAAAGGAGAAGUCUUAGAUACAUAAUAGGACUUUCUUUCUGUAGGAUAGAAGUAACAGCCAAGCUAACUGAAAGUUUGUGAUUGGCAAAGAGGAAUAAGAUUUCUUCCCAGACUCUUGUCCUUACUUAUUUUUUGAUGAUAUAGAUCUAGCAAGAUAACCUGAUCCCUUCUUAUAAUUUUCCAUUCCUAGUAAUUGUCGUGAGAGAGCACAGAGCUAUGCAAUUGGAGGAAGACUUCUUGAUAGCCCUUUGCCUGACUUACUGAGUACAGUGCCCUCCUUAGGAGUACUAAUUUUAAAGCUUGAUAUGUGCCAAGCCAUGGACAAGAUUAACUGGCUUUAAAAUCUAGAGAUGAAUUAGAGACCAAGAACCAUUUACCUUAUGGCUAAAGAUUCUCCACAACUUUGUUUAAAUUGUGUAAAUAUCCCUCUCAAAUUUGCUUUCUCUGUAUGGGCAAGUUAAUUGUUUAUAGUAUUUUCUUGGCACGUAAGUCUCUUCUAGCUUAAAAAACUAAAUGUUGCUUCUUCGCCACAAAUCUCCAGAGUUGAUAAGUCUAACAGCUAAAUUCCUCAAACGUGUGUUUUCUACAACUGUCUUCAUUUCGUUUCCAGGUAUUCAAACCUGAGAUGCACACAGAGGCUUCUGUUCUCGUUACUUUAAAGUGACUAUGGAGAAGGUUGCCACCAGGACUAUAAUUAUCAAAUACAGAAAAAUGUUUUCCGGGCAUCUGAUUAUGUAAUUUUCCUUACACUAUGUCUUUUUUGUUCCAAUGGUACAUAGUUUUAUGUCAUUGCAACCUGGCUGUAUUGGGUACAUUUUCCUUCUUCCAAAUUCUAAGAAUUAGCUAAUACUAUUUGAUUUUAUUGCAUAUGAAUAUAUCUGAGAGUUUCUUUAUUCAUUUUCAAAGAAACAGUAAUUCUUUGUGCACACUCUGCUGAAAUACAUCAUUUGACAUGGACAGGGAAAAUAAUAUAUUCCUUGGCUUAUUUAUUUCUUUACUAUUUAUUUUAUGUGUGCAGCCAUGUACAGCUGUGUGUGCUUAUCUGUGUGUAUGUGUGUGCUUCUUUCUCUUGUGUGUGUAACCAUUUGUACAUAUGUACACAUUGUCAUAGUUCAAUGCAUGGGUGUUGAUCCUUGAUUUCCACCUUACUAUAUACGAGGUCUCCCUUUUAUUGGGUGCCAUUAAACAUAACAGGCUGGCAGGCUCACUAGCUUUAAGGGAUUCCCCUGUCUCCACCUCCCAUAUCACCACAGGAACACAAGAGCAGCCGGUAUACACUAUUGUGCUCAGAAUGUAAUGGUAUUCUAGUUUGGUUCAUUUUAGGAAUAUUAAGCACUUGAACAACUUUCUGGAGAAAGGGUUGAUUUGAGCUUAUAGGUCCGUCACUAAGGAAACCAGCUUGAACUCUGUCCCACUCUGCUAGCUUAUAGUGUCCAGAAGC